UGUCCCGUGCCAGAAUAAUUGGGUUUCCUUGAUGUGGUCUUAAUGUGUGUUUUACACCGGGGCAG
rnacentral:tRNA from 2 species